AAAAACUAAACAUAAUUUUUUUUUUCAUUCCAAUCACAACCAAACACAAAAUAUAUAAAUGAGUCAUUCUAUUCUCACUUUCAUUAUUCAGAUCCAAACGUAACCUAGCAUUAGUUAUUAUUUUUCAUCCCUUCCUUUCUCAAUAGCUUCGUUAUUUUUGACCCGACUUUAUCUUAUUCGAUCGAUCGAUUCAAUCGCGCUUCGUUCGCCGUCCAUCACAGGUACAUGCCCCUCUUCUCUCCACUCUUUUAUCUCCUCUAUCUCCUACAUCUAUUCUCUGAAAUUGAUUUUUCUGUUGUUCUCUUUCAGUUCGGUAAGACAUCUGAUCUCAGUUUAUUCAUUUAUAAUUUCUUUACUUUGUUCAUCCAUUUGUGCUUAAUCAAAUCUGAUUUUGGUGCUCAAUCAAAUCUGAUUUUGGUGCUCAAUGCGCACCACAUCUUUGAUGUAUUGACGCUAUGAAGAUUACAACAAACCCUGUUUAUAUUGUUGGGGGCUUUUCACUUGCAUUCAUGUAGAUAGCAGUUCUAUUUUACAUUGGUGUCAAGCAUUUUAUCUCCAUUAUAGCAAUAUUGCAAAUUGUUUCAUGGAUCGGUGUUAUUAGGCAUUACUAGCUGCUUUCUCUUAUUGUUCAAAAUCUUUCCAUUUUAUCAUCUCUUACCAGCAUUGAUGAAUUAUAAAGCCUUUCCUAUUCCAAAUUUUAAGCUGACUUCACAUUCUGGUUUUGAUGCUGAGCUGUGUACAUCUAAUACAAUUAGUAGGCUGGCAGUAUUGUAGGCAAUUGCUAUGGCGGUCUUGGUGCUGUUGGUUGUUUGUUUACAUGACAAGGUUGUGCUUGAAAGAAUCAAGAUUACGGAAUUUCUGUAAUGUUUUUCUUUCAUUAUUCUUAUUAUGUCGAACACUAGUUGGCAGGAGUAAAAUACAGUUUAGACUUUAGAAGAUGCUGUAAAACGAGUGUAUCUGUGUGCUGUUUUAGCUCAUCCAUGCAAUACAUUAUAUCACAAAUAAUAUAGUAUUAUAUCCAGUUACUUAUAUUUUUUUUUAAGNNNNNNNNNNNNNNNNNNNNNNNNNNNNNNNNNNNNNNNNNNNNNNNNNNNNNNNNNNNNNNNNNNNNNNNNNNNNNNNNNNNNNNNNNNNNNNNNNNNNAACUCAAUUGAAAUGACUUUUAAAAUGCCUCGUAUGCUGGUUUUAUGCAAUUGAAUUGACUUUUAAAAUGCUUUAUAUGCUGGUUUUAUGUAUCUUUUUUAAGACGCCAUAGAUGUCCAUUAGUUAUUUUGUCGAUCAAAUGCAGUAAUGGCUCGAUUUAAUUUAGCUACAAGGAAAAAUAUCACAAAGGAGGAUUGUUAUACUAUUUACAAUGUGGUUGCACAUGAUUACAUUGGUGAAUUGAUUUUUUCAAAUUAUGGGUUUGAUUAGGCGGAAAGUUUUAAGGCAACAAUAUUCCAUUUAUAAGUUGCGGAGGACACGGAGGAUACGUUACAUUGAUGGGUUAGUCAAUGGAGGUGAUAAUAAUUGUAUUGAACUACUUUGGAUGAAUGACUACCUUUCACAAAAGAAGUAGAAGUAUGGAUUCAAUUGCGGAGGCUGUUUAUGACUUCAAGACUCAACUUCAUGAAACUACCAAAAUGUUUAGUCAAAUAAUUUGUGAGGACAAUCUGAUGGAGCAAAAAAAGAAACUCAAUGAGGAGCUCUUCAAAGGUAUCAAACUGCGAAGAAGAUGAUCGAUAAUAAGAACCUCAUGAUAUUGUUUUUUGUUGUACCAGAGGAUGAAAAAGAUGAUUUUGUGCAAGUUUUAUUUCGUGGAGACAUUUGAAAAUAUAGUGAAUUUAAACUUUUAGGCCUAUUAUAUGAUUAUAUGAAUGGUAAUAAUUACUUGCCUCAUAGGACGAAUAUGUCAUGGUAUUAUAUAAAAUUUAUUGUUAUGUGAAUACUUCAAAAACUAUUGUUUCAAAAGUGUGUGGUGUUUGAUUCAAAAUUAUAUAUAUCUCUUAGCUUGAAUAAUUGUAUGGAGGUGU
rnacentral:lncRNA from 1 species